GACGUAGGGUGCGCGCGUUGUCCGGAUUUAUUGGGCGUAAAGAGCUCGUAGGCGGCUCGUCGCGUCGACCGUGAAAACCCGCGGCUUAACUGCGGGCUUGCGGUUGAUACGGGCGGGCUAGAGUUCGGUAGGGGAGACUGGAAUUCCUGGUGUAGCGGUGAAAUGCGCAGAUAUCAGGAGGAACACCGGUGGCGAAGGCGGGUCUCUGGGCCGAUACUGACGCUGAGGAGCGAAAGCGUGGGGAGCGAACAGG
rnacentral:rRNA from 1 species